rnacentral:rRNA from 1 species
UACAGAGGGUGCGAGCGUUAAUCGGAAUUACUGGGCGUAAAGCGCACGUAGGUGGCGACGUAAGUCGGGUGUGAAAGCCCCGGGCUCAACCUGGGAAUUGCAUUCGAGACUGCAUUGCUGGAGUACGGAAGAGGAGGGCGGAAUUCCCGGUGUAGCGGUGAAAUGCGUAGAUAUCAGGAGGAAUACCAGCGGCGAAGGCGGCGCUCUGGGCCGGAACUGACGCUGAGGAGCGAAAGCGUGGGGAGCAAACAGG